AGUUAUAUAGUUUAAAAAAAACAUUAAUUUUGUAAAUUAAAUUUAAAAUAAAAUUUUAUAACUU
rnacentral:tRNA from 1 species